GAACGCUGGCGGCGUGCCUAAUACAUGCAAGUCGAGCGAACUGACGAGGAGCUUGCUCCUUUGACGUUAGCGGCGGACGGGUGAGUAACACGUGGGUAACCUACCUAUAAGACUGGAAUAACUCCGGGAAACCGGGGCUAAUGCCGGAUAACAUAUCGAACCGCAUGGUUCGAUAGUGAAAGACGGUCUUGCUGUCACUUAUAGAUGGACCCGCGCCGUAUUAGCUAGUUGGUGAGGUAACGGCUCACCAAGGCAACGAUACGUAGCCGACCUGAGAGGGUGAUCGGCCACACUGGAACUGAGACACGGUCCAGACUCCUACGGGAGGCAGCAGUAGGGAAUCUUCCGCAAUGGGCGAAAGCCUGACGGAGCAACGCCGCGUGAGUGAUGAAGGUCUUCGGAUCGUAAAGCUCUGUUGUUAGGGAAGAACAAAUGUGUAAGUAACUGUGCACAUCUUGACGGUACCUAACCAGAAAGCCACGGCUAACUACGUGCCAGCAGCCGCGGUAAUACGUAGGUGGCAAGCGUUAUCCGGAAUUAUUGGGCGUAAAGCGCGCGUAGGCGGUUUUUUAAGUCUGAUGUGAAAGCCCACGGCUCAACCGUGGAGGGUCAUUGGAAACUGGAAAACUUGAGUGCAGAAGAGGAAAGUGGAAUUCCAUGUGUAGCGGUGAAAUGCGCAGAGA
rnacentral:rRNA from 1 species